GGUUUGAUUCUGCCUCGAUUGAACGCUGGCGGAUGCUUUUACACAUGCAAGUCGAACGGCAGCACGGACUUCGGUCUGGUGGCGAGUGGCGAACGGGUGAGUAAUGUAUCGGAACGUGCCUAGCAGGGGAUAACUACGCGAAAAAGCGUAGCUAAUACCGCAUACCGCCCUUCGGGGAAAGCGGGGGACCUUCGGGCCUCGCACCACUAGAGCGGCCGAUAUCGGAUUAGCUAGUUGGUGGGGUAACGGUCACCAAGGCGACGAUCCGUAGCUGGUUUGAGAGGACGACCAGCCACACUGGGAUCGAGAUGGCCCGACUCCGCUGAGGCAGCAGAAGGAAUUAAUAAUGGGGAAACCCUGAUCCAGCCAUCCUUGGCGUGUGCGAUGAAGGCCUUCGGGUUGUAAAGCACUUUUGGCAGGAAGAAACGGCACGGGAUAAUACCCCGUGCAACUGACGGUACCUGCAGAAUAAGCACCGGUUAACCACGUGCCAGCAGCCGCGGUAAUACGGGUGCAAGCGUUAAUCGAAUUACUGGGCAUGGAAGCGUGCGCAGGCGGUUCGGAAAGAAAGAUGUGAAAUCCCAGAGCUUAACUGGAACUGCAUUUUUAACUACCGAGCUAGAGCGUGUCAGAGGAGGUGAGAAUUCCGCGCAGUGGGUGCGGAAAUGCGUAGAUAUGCGGAGGAACACCGAUGGCGAAGGUAGCCCCUCGGGAUGGCCACUGACGCUCAUGCACGAAAGCGUGGGGAGCAAACAGGAUUAGAUACCCUGGUAGUCCACGCCCUAAACGAUGUCAACUAGCUGUUGGGGCCUCGGGCUCGGUAGCGCAGCUAACGCGUGAAGUUGACCGCCUGGGAGUACGGUCGCAAGAUUAAAACCUGAAAAGGGAAUUGACGGGGAUCCCGCACAAGCGGUGGAUGCGGAUUAAUCUUCUUGAUGCGGGUCGUGAAAAACCUUACCUACCUUUUUGACAUGCUCCGGGUUGAAUCCCGAAGAUUUGGGGAGGUCGCGCGAGAACCGGAACACAGGUGCUGCAUGGCUGUCGUCAGUCGUGUCGUGAGAUGUUGGUUAAUCGCAACGAGCGCAGAACCCUUGUCAUUAGUUGCUACGAAAGAAUUGAAUGAGACUGCCGGUGACAAACCGGAGGAAGGUGGGGAUGACGUCAAGUCCUCAUGGCCCUUAUGGGUAGGGCUUCACACGUCAUACAAUGGUUUGGACAGAGGGUCGCCAACCCGCGAGGGGGAUAAUCCCAGAAACCCGAUCGUAGUCCGGAUCGCAUUCAAACUUCGACUGUGGUUGAAUCAUGAGAAUCGCAGAUCAGCAGUGCAUCGAAUACGUUCCCGGGUCUUGUACACACCGCCCGUCACACCAUGGGAGUGGGCUGUACGGGUAAAGGGUAGUUAGCCUAACCGUAAGGAGGGCGAUUACCACGGUAGGAUUCAUGACUGGGGUGAAGUCGUAACAAGGUAAUCCCAGCAUACUCGUUGAUGCCUCGUAUAACAUGUAACUGGAACGAAGUAAUACU
rnacentral:rRNA from 1 species